GAUGAACGCUGGCGGCGUGCUUAACACAUGCAAGUCGAACGGAAAGGCACAAACUUGUUUGGGUACUCGAGUGGCGAACGGGUGCGUAACACGUGGGUGACCUGCCCUGCACUUCGGGAUAAGCCUACGAAACUGGGUCUACUACAGGAUAGGAUACCUCCUUGGAUGGUGUGCAGGAAAGCUUUUACGGUGUCGGAUGAGGUCGCGGCGGUUCAGCUUGUUGAUGGGGUCGUGGCGUACCCCGACGUCGACGGUGAUCCGUCCUGAGAGAGUGUAGGGCCGCAUCAGAACUGUGAGAGGGGCCAGAGUCCGGCAGGUGGCAGCAGGGGGGAAUAUUGGACAAUGGGCGAACGCGUGAUGCAGGGACGCCUUGUGGGGGAUGAGGGCUUUUGUGUUGUAAGCUCAGUAGGCGAGUGACGCAGCGUUGUUGUGACGGUACCUGGAGAAGAAGCACCGGCUAACUACGUG
rnacentral:rRNA from 1 species